GCUCAAAGUGUUGAGUUCAGUCCUGCUGUUCGGUGCCGGUCUGACAAUUAAACUUUGAAAAAGAAUCGAGCGGCGGCGUCUGACUUCACAUCGUCUCACGUGUGAAGUCUCGUCUCCGCCGACAUCG